UACGUAGGGUGCAAGCGUUAUCCGGAAUUUAUUGGGCGUAAAGAGCUCGUAGGCGGUUUGUCGCGUCUGCUGUGAAAACCCGAGGCUCAACCUCGGGCCUGCAGUGGGUACGGGCAGACUAGAGUGCGGUAGGGGAGAUUGGAAUUCCUGGUGUAGCGGUGGAAUGCGCAGAUAUCAGGAGGAACACCGAUGGCGAAGGCAGAUCUCUGGGCCGUAACUGACGCUGAGGAGCGAAAGCGUGGGGAGCGAACAGG
rnacentral:rRNA from 1 species